AAACCAACAGGGAUUGCCUCAGUAACGGCGAGUGAAGCGGCAAAAGCUCAAAUUUGAAAUCUGGUGCCUUUGGCGCCCGAGUUGUAAUUUGAAGAGAUUAUCCUGGGAGGCGAGUCUUGUCUAUGUUCCUUGGAACAGGACGUCAUGGAGGGUGAGAAUCCCGUGUGAUGAGGCUUUGCUGACCGUGUAGGGUUUUCUCGACGAGUCGAGUUGUUUGGGAAUGCAGCUCUAAGUGGGUGGUAAAUUCCAUCUAAAGCUAAAUAUUGGCGAGAGACCGAUAGCGAACAAGUACAGUGAUGGAAAGAUGAAAAGAACUUUGAAAAGAGAGUGAAAAAGUACGUGAAAUUGUUGAAAGGGAAGGGCAUUCGAUCAGACUUGGCAUUGCAGGCACCACGCUCUCUUGUAGGGUGUGCACUCCUGUAUUGCUGGGCCAGCAUCGAUUUGCGUGGUAGGAUAUGGGCAGCGGGAACGUAUCUCCUCUGGAGUGUUAUAGCCCGCUUGCCAGUGCUGCCUGCGCGGAUCGAGGAAUGCGUCUUAUUGACUAGGAUGCUGGCGUAAUGGUUGAAUGCCGC
rnacentral:rRNA from 1 species